CCUACGGUACGCAGCAGUGGGGAAUAUUGGACAAUGGGCGAAAGCCUGAUCCAGCCAUGCCGCGUGUGUGAAGAAGGCCUUCGGGUUGUAAAGCACUUUCAGUGGGGAAGAAAGCCUUGGGGCUAAUACCCUCGAGGAAGGACAUCACCCACAGAAGAAGCACCGGCUAACUCCGUGCCAGCAGCCGCGGUAAUACGGAGGGUGCGAGCGUUAAUCGGAAUUACUGGGCGUAAAGCGCGCGUAGGCGGUCUGAUAAGCCGGUUGUGAAAGCCCCGGGCUCAACCUGGGAACGGCAUCCGGAACUGUCAGGCUAGAGUGCAGGAGAGGAAGGUAGAAUUCCCGGUGUAGCGGUGAAAUGCGUAGAGAUCGGGAGGAAUACCAGUGGCGAAGGCGGCCUUCUGGACUGACACUGACGCUGAGGUGCGAAAGCGUGGGUAGCAAACAGGAUUAGAUACCCUGGUAGUC
rnacentral:rRNA from 1 species